rnacentral:lncRNA from 1 species
GCGCCACGUCACAGUUAACAGAAAACUUAACAGUUUGACUAACGGAUGUAUGAGACUGUCCCAAAAUUUACACUUUAGGUAUGAAUCUGAGACGAAAAAAACUUGAUGCACUAAAUGUUGAAAACCACGAAAUAUGAGGGUAGUAAACAGUCUUUUACCCUAAUAUUUUAGAAGACAUAUUAAAAAUGAUGUUUACUUUUAAUAUAACACAUAGCUAGUGAAACAUCACCUGGUAGCUGUGACUUACAUUUGGGGAUGAAGAUUCUCUCUGGACUUUCUUUGUGAGGAUUCUAAGAUCUUUAUAUUUUAUCUGUUUAUUGUACAUCGAGCGCUCAGUUUUUGUUUGAUAUUGUUUGUGCUUAAUUUUAAAUUAAAAUAUUUAGAAUGAUUUUUGGCCGUACGAUGCAUACGAUGUACGAUGGACGAUAAAUGGAUUGGAUGUAAGGAUUUCUAUAAUCCUCACAAAGAGAAUCCGGAUGAGAUCCAAAUCCAUAUUUUUGUAACUAUAAAAGUUUCUCCAUAUUAAAUGGCUGAUAAUAUUUUUAAAAUUUGUUCCAUAUUAAAAGGCUCAUUUAAUGUCGAAUCUCGUAGAUGGCGAAUUCGAUAUUAAAUUAGGUUACUCAUUAUGUAAUUUAGUCGAACACCUCAUCUUCUUAAUGUAAAAAUAUAUGACGUAAAUAAAAAAGGGCUCAUUUACUGUCAGAUAGCUGGAUGUAAUAAUGAUAUUAUUACAUGCAGGUUAAACUAAAGUGCUCCACAAGGGUCAGAGUAAAAAGCUGCAGGGUUAAACAUGCAUGUGAAAUGUGAUCAUGCUUUUGUAGAAUAAAGAUUAGAUCAAUUUUCUCCUUUUUGUUUGUGCGUGCUUGAGCUUCUUUUGUGCACAUGCGUAAGGCUUUGGUUCCUUUAUCUAGCAAUUAACCUAAUUGCUCAUUUUGGUCGUUUCCUCAGGUUCGAUGCAGCUAAAGGAUAUCACUGCAUGUACAAAGAGAUAAGACCAUUUGAUAAUUAAUUUCUUGAUCAAACCCCUCCAAAUGAAGUUGAAAACUUAAUUAAUAGCUAAGUGUACUUUUAGCAUAUUGAUGACACAUUUUCUCGAUCUGCUAUGAGACAAUUUGGUAGCAAAUGGGGUUGAUGUCUUGCUAAGUACCAUAUACGCUCAUGUGGUGUGCACAUGCCUCUUCAUAAAAUUGAAUACAACCCCUCCCCCCCUCCCCUUCUUAAAAUCGAAAAUCAAGUAUGAAUUUAGGAGAUAUCGCCACUCAUCAUUACGGUCUGAUAGUAUUCUUCUUCAAUUGUAAAUGAGAGGUAGUAGGUUCGGAUCUUGUGAAUGGCGAAUUCGAUUUCAAAAAUCCAUGAGUUCGAUACAAAAAUUAAGUUGCCCAUUGUGUAGCUUAGCCAAACUCUCAAUUUUCUUUAGUGUAAAAUAUAUCGUUGUUCUAAAAAAAAUUAGGAGAUAUUAAUUUCAGCAAAUUACUUUAAAAAAAUUAUCUGCCAUGAGGUUGAAUUAAUUGGGGAACCAACUUACUAAUUAAUAAUUACUUGAUUUUAUUGGCUUGUGUUCGUCUAUAGGGGGAUGAAGGCCAUUCUAUAGGGGCCUUGGCUCCUUCUAAUUACUUUGAGCGGGGUGAAAGGAUACGUUGCUUUGGCAGUCUCAAUUUGAGUAAUGUGUGUAAUAUGACUCGACUAAUCACUUGUGACACGAAGUAAGUUACUCCCACUUAGUUGUACUCAGUUUUGCAAUCAAUAUACAUCAUUUUUUCACCCAAAAAAAUUGGCCGGGACCACACAUUAACAAGGUGUUUAAACGUUUUUGUCAUGGUGAACUCAACACCUUCCAUUGUUCUGUGCAUUACCGAUGAUCUUGGAUCGUGUCGGCUUGUUCUUUAGUGGCAUGUAUAUCGUUUUUCUUCCAAUGUUUAACUCUCGAGGCAGCCAACAAACCCUAUCACUCCAAAAAUAGGGAUCACCCACGGCCUUUUCCGAUCGGAUUCAGGUUAGUAGCAGUGCAUGAAAUCAGUAGCGUGUACUCUACUUAAAUUCAGAGAAAAACUUGCAUGUCCGAUGACAUGCAUUGCAUGCAAUCUUCUUUAUCUCUCUCUUCCCGUAACACUGUAUUUUGUGGAAGACUGUUGACCUUAAAAACUACUAAGCCUACGUGGCGCAUAGGCAGAGUAAUCAAUAAGCUAACUACGUCCUUAGGUUAUGUGUAGGACGUGCCAACU